rnacentral:rRNA from 1 species
AGGGGUGAAUACGUUCCCGGGCCUUGUACACACCGCCCGUCACACCAUGGGAGUCGAUUGCUCCAGAAGUGGCUGAGCUAACCCGCAAGGGAGGCAGGCCCCCAAGGAGUGGUUGGUAACUGGGGUGAAGUCGUAACAAGGUAGCCGUAGGGGAACCUGCGGCUGGAUCACCUCCUUUCUAA